rnacentral:rRNA from 1 species
GGAUUGUAGGCUGCAACUCGCCUACAUGAAGUCGGAAUCGCUAGUAAUCGCGGAUCAGCAUGCCGCGGUGAAUACGUUCCCGGGCCUUGUACACACCGCCCGUCACACCAUGAGAGUUUGUAACACCCAAAGCCGGUGGGGUAACCUUUUGGAGCCAGCCGUCUAAGGUGGGACAGAUGAUUAGGGUGAAGUCGUAACAAGGUACC